CAGUAGCCGCGGGAAUACGGAGGAUCCAAGCGUUAUCCGGAAUCAUUGGGUUUAAAGGGUCCGUAGGCGGUCUUGUAAGUCAGUGGUGAAAGCCCAUCGCUCAACGAUGGAACGGCCAUUGAUACUGCAGGACUUGAAUUAUUGGGAAGUAACUAGAAUAUGUAGUGUAGCGGUGAAAUGCUUAGAGAUUACAUGGAAUACCAAUUGCGAAGGCAGGUUACUACCAAUUGAUUGACGCUGAUGGACGAAAGCGUGGGUAGCGAACAGGAUUAGAUACCCCUGUAGUCCCUGUCUCUUAUAC
rnacentral:rRNA from 1 species